rnacentral:miRNA from 1 species
UACUAUGAUAAUGCAGCCACAUCAAUAUUUACAGCUUGGCUAUUGUGAAAUUGAACUGCUGUAAAUAUUGAUGUGGCUGCAUUAUCGUAGUA